UUGGCAUGUCCCUGGAGCAAAUCCAAGAGGUAAAGACCACGAGGAAAAAUUCCUUUUCUGGUUUAAGUGGUCCCCCAGUACCCACUUAUUGGAGUUAGAAAAAAUGUUUCUUUAUAUGUGUGUCUUCUAAAGAAUUGAAUCUGAGACAAUAAAAGGGUCCAUGGUAGGUGUGAGCAAGUUGAAACGCUUUCUAAAUUAGAAAAUGGAAAAUGUUGUAAAGGACGUGAAUUCAGAUCAAUCCAAUUAGAGGAUUAUUUAUUGUUUCCUACAUGUAAGAAAGAGUCAACAUGAUGAACUGAUACAGAGCUGACUUCUGAGUCAGAAAAAACUGAGAAUAAGUCCCAUCUCUGGCAUAAUACCGGCUUUGUAACUAUGGGGAAGUCCCUUAAUCUCUCAGUGUUUCAAGAAACUCUGAGGUAACAAAUUGCAAAGAAGACAUCUGGUGAUGAAGUCCUAAGUUCAAGUCCAUCCCCAAAUAUUUAUUUGCUAUGAUAUACCAGAUGACAUGCUUUUUGGUCUUCUGGAGAAAGCAAGUGACCACUGGUGCCUGAAGAAAGAAGCAGGAUCAUUCUGGCUGGAUGUAUUGAGGAAGGGAGUAGGCAGGAUCAGAAGACUGAGUCCACUAAAAGAUUUAAGAAAGUUGGAGCAAAAUCUGUGAUCACCAGUCCUGAACCCACCAGAAGACUCCAAGAUGCAAGGAUUUGGAUAAUCUCAUUGAUGUCAUGCUACUCAUUGCUGAUUUCUCUAGUAGAAUUAGUCUAACUACCCAACACAAUUUCAUCUGACAGAGAUAGGAAAAAACAUCACCUAAUAAUAGAUGAAAUUUGCCUUUUCAAAAGGAAUAUCAGUUGACUCUCUUCUGAGUGACGUUAU
rnacentral:lncRNA from 1 species